rnacentral:rRNA from 1 species
UACAGAGGGUGCAAGCGUUGUUCGGAAUUAUUGGGCGUAAAGCGCGUGUAGGCGGCCGUGCAAGUCGGGUGUGAAAGCCCUCAGCUCAACUGAGGAAGUGCGCCCGAAACUGCAUGGCUUGAGUACCGGAGAGGAUGGCGGAAUUCCCGAAGUAGAGGUGAAAUCGUAGAUAUCGGGAGGAACACCGGUGGCGAAGGCGGCCAUCUGGACGGAUACUGACGCUGAGACGCGAAAGCGUGGGUAGCAAACAGG